CAAAAACAAAUCCUACGGUUGCCAAGAUAUCAAUGAGUGUGAGGAGACCGCUAAUCUCUGCGGUCCACAUUCCAACUGUACUAAUUCACCAGGAGUCUACAACUGUAGCUGUCUAGAGGGGUUUGUACCCUCAGACCCAGCCUUGGCACUCAACCCGACCCGCAACCCCUGCACAGAUGUGAAUGAGUGUGUGGAGAUUGAGAAGGUUUGUGGUGGUUUUGGUAAAUGUACAAACACACCAGGAAAUUACACCUGCACCUGUUACAAUGGAUACAAGCCUGACGGACCCUUCGACUGCCAAGAUAUUGACGAGUGUUUCAACUCAACCAUCUGUGGUCAGGAGUCUGUCUGUACCAACACACCAGGAGCCCACAACUGUACCUGUCUCCCAGGCUUCUCACCCACAAACCCAGUCCUAGACCCCAGCAAGGCCAACCCCUGUAUAGACAUUGAUGAGUGUCUGAACAAAACCGUGUGUGGUCCCGAUGCCAACUGUACCAACUCUUAUGCAGCACACAGCUGUACCUGCCUCUU